UUUAAGGAAGUAGGCAGUCUGUAAGUCGUGAAAGUGUUGCACCAUCUACAAAUGUGCAUCUCUCUCGAGUUUUUUUUCUUCUUUUUGCAUAAAUGUGCUGAGUUUCCUGGAAACUUUUGACAUUUGUCAUCCGGCCGACGAGCGUGAGUCUCUUCUUCACAAAAACAAGAGAAAGGGCUUCACUCAGUACAUAAGUUUUCAGUCGAGUGCGUCGACGAACCGUUCGGAUGUCCCGGCGUCAUCGUGUACGGGGACAAAACCUUCGCUUUGGUGGUCAGUCCAAGAGCAUCUGUCAGCCCCAACAGCAGCUCUGUCGUCUGCUUUUGUGACCCUGCCCAAGUGGAGGAUGGGAGCAACACAGAAGAUCAGGAACGCGGUGUGGAGGACGAGGUCCAAGACGAACACAACACUGAAGAGUCCUAAGUUUUUGUUUUUGUUGAAAUCUUGAAAGCAAGGUCGACCUUUAUAUUUCCCGUGGCAUGAACAUUUCAACCUAAAGAUUAAGUGAAUAUUUAUAAUAACACUACAAUGCUUGCAUGCAUUAGCUCGAUAAGAGUGUAUAUUAAACUCAAUAAAAAUGUUCUUUUUUUUUCCCCAAAAAUGUGCUUU